rnacentral:lncRNA from 1 species
GGGAUCUUCUUUGGUUUUUCCCCAUAGAAAACAAUGUGAAUGGCAUGCUUGAGUCUUUUAACAGCACCAAUGCAAUGCUCAUACAAUCACCACAGGGUUUUCAAUAGAUUCGUGGGCUGUCGCAAUCAUAUUUGGUUGGCCAAAAGGUGCUUGACUUUUUGGUGUUCCGGUCUGCAUUCGAUUUAAAGUAAAUUAGAAACAUUUAUUUAUAAAUCUAAAACUUUACUUAUAUUUUGUAACCGAUUCAUCUUAUUUUAAAUUAAUAUAUCACUCGAUUUUCGAUUCAA